CAAUAGCGUAUAUUAAAGUUGUUGCAGUUAAAAAGCUCGUAGUUGGAUUUGUGGCUGUCACGGGCGGCCUAUCACUUCGUGUUAGUGCUUGCCUGUGUCGCCAUCCUUGGGUGGAGCCCGUGUGGCAUUAGGUUGUCGUGCGGGGGAUGCCCAUCGUUUACUGUGAGAAAAUUAGAGUGUUCAAAGCAGGCUUAUGCCGUUGAAUAUGUUAGCAUGGAAUAAUAAGAUAGGACCUCGGUACUAUUUUGUUGGUUUGCGCACCGAGGUAAUGAUUAAUAGGGACAGUUGGGGGUAUUCGUAUUUCAUUGUCAGAGGUGAAGUUCUUGGAUUUCUGAAAGACGAACUACUGCGAAAGCAUUUACCAAGGAUGUUUUCAUUAA
rnacentral:rRNA from 1 species